GAUCGCGGCGACGUGGGCGGUUCGCUGCCCGCGACGUCGCGAGAAGUCCACUGAACCUUAUCAUUUAGAGGAAGGAGAACUCGUAACAAGGUUUCCGUAGGUGAACCUGCGGAAGGAUCAUUG
rnacentral:rRNA from 1 species